rnacentral:rRNA from 1 species
GUAGGUGGCAAGCGUUGUCCGGAAUUAUUGGGCGUAAAGCGCGCGCAGGCGGUUCUUUAAGUCUGAUGUGAAAGCCCACGGCUCAACCGUGGAGGGUCAUUGGAAACUGGAGAACUUGAGUACAGAAGAGGAAAGCGGAAUUCCACGUGUAGCGGUGAAAUGCGUAGAGAUGUGGAGGAACACCAGUGGCAAAGGCGGCUUUCUGGUCUGUAACUGACGCUGAGGCGCGAAAGCGUGGGGAGCAAACAGGAUUAGAUACCCUGGUAGUCCACGCCGUAAACGAUGAGUGCUAAGUGUUAGGGGGUUUCCGCCCCCCUUAGUGCUGCAGCUAACGCAUUAAGCACUCCGCCUGGGAGUACGGCCGCAAGGCUG